rnacentral:rRNA from 1 species
GAUGAACGCUGGCGGCGUGCCUAAUACAUGCAAGUCGAGCGAACAGACGAGGAGCUUGCUCCUCUGACGUUAGCGGCGGACGGGUGAGUAACACGUGGAUAACCUACCUAUAAGACUGGGAUAACUUCGGGAAACCGGAGCUAAUACCGGAUAAUAUAUUGAACCGCAUGGUUCAAUAGUGAAAGACGGUUUUGCUGUCACUUAUAGAUGGAUCCGCGCCGCAUUAGCUAGUUGGUAAGGUAACGGCUUACCAAGGCGACGAAGCGUAGCCGCCCUGAGAGGGUGAUCGGCCACACUGGAACUGAGACACGGUCCAGACUCCUACGGGAGGCAGCAGUAGGGAAUCUUCCGCAAUGGGCGAAAGCCUGACGGAGCAACGCCGCGUGAGUGAUGAAGGUCUUCGGAUCGUAAAACUCUGUUAUUAGGGAAGAACAAAUGUGUAAGUAACUAUGCACGUCUUGACGGUACCUAAUCAGAAAGCCACGGCUAACUACGUG